AGAGUUUGAUUCUGGCUCAGGACGAACGCUGGCGGCGUGCCUAAUACAUGCAAGUCGAACGAGUUUGCUUUUAAUGAAGGCGGUGCUUGCACCAACUGAUUUAAAAAUAAACGAGUGGCGGACGGGUGAGUAACACGUGGGUAACCUACCCUAAAGUGGGGGAUAACAUUUGGAAACAGAUGCUAAUACCGCAUAAUAUUAAAAACCACAUGGUUUUUAAUUGAAAGACGGCGUAAGCUGUCACUUUUGGAUGGACCCGCGGCGUAUUAGCUAGUUGGUGAGGUAACGGCUCACCAAGGCGAUGAUACGUAGCCGACCUGAGAGGGUGAUCGGCCACAUUGGGACUGAGACACGGCCCAA
rnacentral:rRNA from 1 species